rnacentral:rRNA from 1 species
UACGUAGGUGGCAAGCGUUGUCCGGAUUUACUGGGCGUAGAGAGCGCGCAGGCGGUCGUUCAAGUCGCGUGUGAAAGCCCCCGGCUCAACUGGGGAGGGUCACGCGAUACUGAUCGACUCGAAGGCAGGAGAGGGAAGUGGAAUUCCCGGUGUAGUGGUGAAAUGCGUAGAUAUCGGGAGGAACACCAGUGGCGAAGGCGACUUCCUGGCCUGUUCUUGACGCUGAGGCGCGAAAGCUAGGGGAGCAAACGGG